rnacentral:lncRNA from 1 species
GUCUUUUCUGGCAGAUUACUUCUGUGAGCAACUGGGUCUCUCAGUUCUUUGGGAGCACCCUGGGAAACAGUGUGGCUAUGACUUGGAGCUGCUCACCAGUUCCAGUCAUUCUGUGGUUGAGAGCUGCUCCCUAUGGAUGUUAAUUCUUCUCCAUUUUAGAUUUUCCACAGGUGUGGGCCCCAUUAGCUCUGGCCACCUGAGAAAGCCCUCAGGCAAAGAGUCGCAGGUGAAAGCCAGCAGUUAGAGGUUCACAGAAAUGAGUACAGAAGCAUCUUCAGUUGGAGAGCCACUGCCUCUUGCUGUGAAAUAUUUGGGAAUCUUCAGAAACCAUGAAGAAUAACCUGCUAAAGGGUUUUAUUUUGUCAGUCAAGCUGGAAUGCAGUGGCGUGAACAUUGCUUACUGCAGCUUCAAUCUCCUGAGGUCAAACAAUCUUCUCACCUCAGCCUUGCAAGCAGCUAGGACUACAGGCAUGUGCCACCACGCCCCACUAAUUUUUUAAUUUUUCUUUUGUGGAGACGCAGUCUUGUUAUCUUGAACAGGCUGGUCUUGAACUCUUGGAGUCAAGCAAUCCUUCUGCCUCAGACUCUCAAAAGUGCUGGGAUUACAGGCAUGAGCCACCACAUUCAGCCAGGAAAAGUUUUUGUACAUUUAAAAAAUUAUAGGAUAUUUGUGUAUAUAGCUUUGCUGGUUUGACUUCCUAGAAUAGCUCCCAGGAACACAAAGUACUUAAUUGAUUAGUAUAAAAUGAUUAUGUCAUACUCACAUGUUGGUU